GCUCUCGUAGUUCAGUGGACAGAACGCGGGUUUCCUAAACCUGAUGUCGGGGGUUCGAAUCCCUCCGAGAGCA
rnacentral:tRNA from 1 species